AUGAGUUGGAAUCGACUCGACGGUAAUGGGUUUGGUUUUUUUUUUAAUUAACAGAAGGUAAUCCAAUCAUUUUUUUUUUUAAUCCAAUCAUAGUCGAGGUAUCAUUAGUUUCAGUCAAGUCUGUGAUAACUAAGUAUAUGCGUUAAGAGAGCAAAGCAACUGGAGACUUUCUUGUAAUGAAAACCAGUGUUUCUGAGCACAGAGAAGAGUCUACAGUAUUCCAGGAAUUGCACAGCUAGAAGGAAGAAAAGAAUGCACUCAAGCAGCUACCAGAGUAUUCACUACAUAAAACCACUCUUUCUGGCGUUGACCACAUCACUCACGUGUUCCGGUAUCUUCCCCUUUCAGAGGAGAGAGGCAACUCAGCUAGCAAGGAGGUGGGACACUUACCUUCUGCUUUUCACUUUGUGAUUUUAAACCUGCCCUUGUGAAGUGGAAUGACCCUGCUCUCCAGGCAGCAGAGCACGCUGGGUCAUGACUUAAGGGGCACAACAGAGAAAAAAGGUCAGAGAGUAAUACAUUUGACAGCCCAAAAAAAGAUGCCAGAAGGUGGACCAAGUCUGAAAUCUGUAAUUUUUCAGGGUCCUUGGCAGAGAAAGGAACUUUGCAAACAACUUAAGGAGAUGCCUUGAGCCUCUGCAGAAAGAGGAACAAAAUAUUUCUGGUCAAGAAGAGAAGACAGCAAAAAUAAAUUCUGAAGAAGUUAUUCAAGAGAAAAAUUCAAUAUUCAACGUGGAAUUUGAUGGGAGCAUAGGAAGUAAUCUCUCUGCUCUUGCUUGGGAAGAAAAAAGACUAUAGUAUUUCAAUACUCUCAGUUUUAUCAAAUAUGUAGUAGUGUUCUUUUACAUAAAACAUAGGUGGAGAAACAGUUUCCCAAACUUCUUGGGCUUUCGGUGUCAGAUCUAUUUUAUACAUAUUUUCUACCAGAGUCAGUGAAAUAAAGUGCUUGAAAAAUAAGCAAAGUUUCUCUGCCCCUUUCAAAUGCAACAGAAAGGCUCUAAAGAGAAAAUUAAAACAGUGAGGACCUUGCCAUACAAACGGCCCCAAACCAUAACAGUCCUCCAGGUAGCUCCGGCUCAAAUGAAGCUCAUUCAAGAACUACAGUGACGCCAAAGCAGGCUCCCAUUUCUCACGUACCAACAUGGUGGGACAGCACUCUAAGUUGUUUGUUUUCUAGCUUACUUGGAAAUUUUAAGUCAGACUGUUAACGACUGUUAACGUCUGUCGGAUAAUACCGUGGCUGCUUAAUACCAUUUAUCAUUCCUUGUCUGAGGACACCAUCUGACAACAAGAUAAACUGCACUAAGGCUUUCAUCUCUGUCCUCCCAGAAAGCUGACAGCUGCACAUCAAAUGCGAUUGAUAGAAUGUGUAUAUGAUGGUGUGUCUUUCAAGGCGAUUGCUGGUCCACAAAAUGUUACUCUUUCUCCAACUGUUCAUUGCUUGUUGCUGUUGUCAGCUGCUGUCGAGCUGGCUCCAACUCACAGCAACUUUAUGUAUCAGAGAAUGAAACGCUCCCCAGUCCUGAGCCAUCCUCACAAUCAUUGGUGUAUCUGAGCCCAUUGUUGCCGCUGUUAGGUCAAUCUGUCUCAUAGAAGGUUUCCCUCAUUUUCAGUGACCCCUACUUUACCAGACAUGAUGUUCAUUGCUCAGUAUCUGUUGUGUCCCUGUGUAAAUACUUCUAAACGUGUGUUCCUCAAUGAUUCCUAUGGAUGUGUGUAAAACUAGGAAACUGGAUCAGAAAUAAAGACUUACAUAAUCACCACCACCACAGACACUUCUUGCCUUGAAGCACCAUCUUCCAAAAUUUUCCUGAUGGCCCUGCUUCUAGUUACUCUGUGGCAGCCUGCUAUAUCUCAUCUGCCCACAAAUGAGGCUUUUAUUACACUGUAUCUUUUAAACACUUCUUUUCUCCUUCUACUGGCUUAGCAGUUUUCACUUCUCUGAUCUUCACUCCGCAGGUUAUGUUACCUCAAUCUAUCACUUUUUUUUUUAGCUCAGUCUUAUCCAAAAGCAAAAUAUUCUAUCCGGCCUUUUUUCUCUAGUCAUAAAUGUUGGUAAAGUUGACACCUCCAAUUAAAAGAAGCUCUUAAUGUCAAGUUCUGUGGCAGGAACGUGAUAAAAGGGGCCACAAAAGGAGCUGGAAUCAAUGGUAACCUUAUUACAGAUUGUUGCUGGCUUGGCCCAGAUGGGCAGACUCCAUUAAUUAUGAAAGUGUGAUUUCUCUUUUCACUGCAUUCAUCACUGGCAAGAAAAAACACACGCAACUACACCAACAACGUAAGACAGAAUGCUCCUGAUGUUGUGUGCCAUUUGCCAAUAUGUUUGUAUUUGGAAAAAAAAAAUCCCUUCAUUUCAUGUACUUUAUUUAAAGACCCUUGCUUUAUUUAAGGAAUGUUUAAAGUCAUGUGGUAGAGGAGAAAACUCAGAAAGUUACAUAAAAACAGGCACAGAGAGCAAAUAACAUCCGCAUAGACAAAGCAUCUCGUUCCUCCCUUUGAGCACUUCGAGUAUACCUAUUCUCCACGGCAUACGUGGGCUCUCCAGAGGAUGUUUCCUUAAUUAAACCUGAAGGUAAUUAAAAUCAACAUUUUUUUGGAGCUGCAAGGAAAAGACAUUCAAAACAAAUUAAUUUCAAAUAGAAAGUGUGGACAGAGAGACUGCAAUGUUAAGAAAGAAUUAAUGUGUGAUCUCUGAACAAAUGGCUGCCUGAGGGUGUGCCGCUGCGUGUACAAAUAGCCAUGCUGCCGUAACAGAGAGCUGGGCGUCGUUUUCUUUCAUUACGUUUUCCUCUUCUAUCCUUUUCAUUCCCAAUGACCUCACCUUCAAUUUAAUUACAGGGCUGACAAAUACUCCACAGUCCAGAAAAAUUGUAGCAAAAUCAAUGAAAAAACUUUUAAAGAGAGCUUUUUUCAUGUAAUACUAUAUAAAAUAUUUAAAUUUCCAUUUUUUUUU